rnacentral:lncRNA from 1 species
GUCGGAGGAAAAGAAAAACAGAAAACAACCUUGGAGGAGGUUCUUAUGAUAGGGACAGUUUUGGAUUUACCACCUUGUUUGUGCUGAGUUGUAUUAAUUUGUAUAUAAUAUGUUGUAGUAUAGAAAUUGAAAUUGAAAUAAAGAAUAAAGAAUUGAUUUUUCAACGUAAAUAUUAUGUGUAUAACAACACACACAGGUGCAAGUGCAAGUGCAAGUGCAAGUCAAAAGGCAAAUUUGGUUUUGGG